GGUAAGGUGGCCGAAAUAAGCAUUAGACUGUAAAUCUGAAGAUGGAGGUUAGAAUCCUCUUCUUACCA
rnacentral:tRNA from 1 species